rnacentral:rRNA from 1 species
AAACUUAAAGGAAUUGACGGGGGCUCACACAAGCGGUGGAGCAUGUGGCUUAAUUCGAGGCAACGCGAAGAACCUUAUCCUGGGUUUGACAUGUACGGAUUAACCCUGUGAAAGCAGGGCCACGCUCGCAAGAGUGGAACGUGCACGGGUGCUGCAUGGCUGUCGUCAGCUCGUGUCGUGAGAUGUCGCGUUAAGUCGCUAAACGAGCGAAACCCCUAUCUUUAGUUGCCAGCGCGUCAUGGCGGGGACUCUAAAGAGACUGCCGGUGUCAAACCGGAGGAAGGCGGGGAUGACGUCAAGUCCUCAUGGCCUUUAUGCCCAGGGCUGCACACGUGCUACAAUGGGGCGUACAAAGCGCCGCGAAGUUGCGAAACCAAGCUAAUCGCAAAAAGCGUCCCCCAGUUCGGAUUGAAGGCUGCAAUUCGCCUUCAUGAAGCCGGAAUCGCUAGUAAUCGCCGAUCAGCAUUGCGGCGGUGAAUGUGUUCCUGAGCCUU